GGAAAACCAAUUCACCCAAGCAACACAACAAAAGAAUUACUCAAUUUAGCUAACAAAUUAAAGAACACACAUGCAUUUAAAGAACUCAACAAAUCAAAUUAUAUACUUUAUUAGCUGAAAAUUCAAAAGCAACCCUUUUUACCAAACUCAUAAAUGAACCUAAAAAACAACUAAAGGUCAGGUUUUUAUGCUCACAAAUCACAACAAAACCA
rnacentral:misc_RNA from 1 species